rfam:Maricaulis maris MCS10, complete genome.
GGGCCUGUAGCUCAGGUGGUUAGAGCGCACGCCUGAUAAGCGUGAGGUCGGUGGUUCGAGUCCACCCAGGCCCA